rnacentral:tRNA from 2 species
UAGCGCAGCUUGGUAGCGCAACUGGUUUGGGACCAGUGGGUCGGAGGUUCGAAUCC